ACUCUCUCGCUUCUUUGAGCUUUUGGAUGCCGUGAAACUGUUUAUGGAAGACAAGGACUAUCCCGAGCUCUCGGACCUCAAGUGGAUUAUGGAUCUGGCCUUUUUGGUCGACAUGCUGUGUCACUUGGACAGAUUGAACCUGACCCUGCAGGGUAAGUUAAAAAUGCUUCCUGACCUGGUGCAAAGUGUGUUUGCGUUUGUCAACAAACUGAAGCUGUUCAAGACACAUAUUCAAAAGGGAGAUUUAACGCAUUUUCCCACUCUGCUAAAAGCCAGCGGGCAAGUCGCCAGCGCCGCCCUGAGUAAGCAAAGAGCCAGAUAUGCAACGCUGAUUGAAAACUUGCACGAAAGCUUUGUGACCCGGUUCCAUGAUCUACAAUUGAAAAGGCCACAGAUUACGUUCCUCUUCGACCCAUUUAAUGCAGAGACCGGCUGUUUAAAAGUCCCGCUAGUCACAGAUGAAGCUGCGGCUGAGUUGGAGAUGAUCGAUCUUUGUGAGGAGGACCAAUUGAAACCUGCUUUAAGGGAAGGGACCAUUGAGUUCUGGAAAAGUGUGCCAAUGGAAAAAUACCCCAAUGUCAAAUGGGCUGCGCUUAAGAUACUGUCAAUGUUUGGGUCAAUAUACGUCUGCGAGUCUGUUUUCUACCCUAAAACAUGUGAAAUCAAAGCAUCGAUCUGUUCUGACUGACACUCAUGUGAAAGAAUUGCUUCGAGUGGCAACAACGGAAUACAAGCCAGAUUUGAAGAGGAUUGUUCAAGGCAAGGAAUGCCAGAAGUCCCACUAAACAACAUCCAUUGUAAAAGAAAAAUGCUGUUGUAGAUUAUUAUAUUUUUGUUUGUGGACUUGGUUGAACUGAGAGUUUGUGUGUGUGAGACAGUGCACACAGUGUUCAUUGUUGAAAAUGACCGGCCUGUGGUUUUAGUACUGUAGGAGUCCAUUUCUGUCAUUAUCAUGUUGGUGUGUGACAUUUACAAUAAAUCUGGCUGAGCAGAGAUGUGUGUGUGUGUGUGUGUGUGUGUGUGUGUGUGUGUGUGUGUGAGAGAGAGAGAGGGAGGAAAGGAUGGGUGAUGUUCAUGUGUACCCAUGCAUAUGAUGUGGCUCUUUGCGGUAACACAGUAAAAAAAAAAGUGGCUCUUGGUCUCUGACUGGUUGGCCACCCCCGAUCUAGGAGGUCUUCCGUUGGAGAAUACAAGCACGUGUCGCCAUCUAGGAGGUCUUCCGUUGGAGAAUACAAGCACGUGUCGCCAUCUAGGAGGUCGGCCGUUGGAGAAUACAAGCACGUGUCGCCAUCUAGGAGGUCGGCCGUUGGAGAAUACAAGCACGUGUCGCCAUCUAGGAGGUCGGCCGUUGGAGAAUACAAGCACGUGUCGCCAUCUAGGAGGUCGGCCGUUGGAGAAUACAAGCACGUGUCGCCAUCUAGGAGGUCGGCCGUUGGGAAAUGCAACACGCCACUGUCUGGGAAAUCUACGCCACACGACAAUAAAAGAGCAAGGAAUGCAGCGACAUGCUGUUUAUUUUCCACUACUGCAAAACUAAAAUAAAUGUCUAUUUUAAAUACGUUGUGUAUUUGACAUCUGUAGUCCUAUGAGCAUGGUGGAUCAUGAUCUAAACAAAAGAAUAUGCAGCAAAAAGUGAUUUGGGUAACUCUUAUGCCAAAAAAAUCAAGGUAGCCAGCGUACCCUGCCUGGAACAUGGCUACCAGGGUCCUAACCUGGAGCCAAGCCUGGGGGGAAGGCUCAAGGGCGAAGAUCAGUUGGCCCAGCCGGGCUCAAGCUGAAGAAGUUAUAUGGGUCUGUUCUUCUGUGGGACACUACUUUGGGCUUUGUGGAUCGGGCAGAGGUCCUGGUGCUCUGAUGCACACAUCUGCAGUGAUGUGGAUCGAUGAGCUUCCUUCAAAGAGGAGCUGGGCUCUCCCUUAGAGAUGGGGUGAGGAGCUUGGUCAAUUGAGAGUAAAGUUGCUGCUCCUUCACAUCAAAAGGAGCCCAUUAAGGUGUUUCCAGCCUUGUCCAACCAGAAGGAGGCCUCGGGUUUGACAGAGGAGAUUGUGUAUCAUGGCUAGAUUGUGAGUGACUGUGUGUCCCGCAUAUGAUCUGGAAGAAGUGGCCAGAUGCAACCACUCGAAUGUGUAAUUUCAUCUGGACUUAAAACAUGAACUGUGUGUGUGUGUGUGUGUGUGUGUGCGUGUGUGUGCAGUGGUUUAUGCUUGCUAGUAAACAAUGUUUGGAAAAGAAAAGGGUAAAACUACCUGUUUUUGUUUGUUUUUCAGUCUCUUUCAGAUCCGACAACAUCUAGAACAUGAAAUCAUGACAGUGAAGUUUGUAUGUAGUUAAAUCCUAGAACCUCAACAGGGCUAAAAUAAUGAAACAGGUUUCCUGAGGACGUGGGCUUCCAUGCAAACCAUGACACCAGAUGGGCCAGGUCAGCUUGGAGUGCAGGUACACCGCCUAGAGCCACCUAACAACAGCUGAAAGCAUAAUUUAGCAGGCAACACACAGGGUAAGGCUUUAUAAUCGUAUUAAAGCAUCCAUAGCUGUGUAAGGAGGGGUUGCAUAACAUUUUCCUUUUUCUUCCAAUAACAGUAAGGCAGCAUGUACCUUUACUAGUUUUACCUAAAUGCAAAUCAGUCUUACUAAAGAUCAAGUACGUGCAGGGGGUGGGGGGGACGGGCUUAAGCACCUGCCCCUUUCCUGAAGGUUUUCUCCUUUCCUCCCCAAGUGCCCUUUUCUUGAGGCAAAUGUUUUUUUUAUGUGUGUGUGCAUGUAGAGUCCUGCCUGUGCCCUCAACAAUAAUAUUUAACUAUUAAUCACAGUUUUGCUAAAUAAAAGGAUCUGGUUUGCAUCAGUCACAUAAUUACCAUUAACCAAUGAUCGCCCUUGACGGCAGAGCGCUCCGGUUAUGAACCGGGAACAAGCUCGCAAAGAGCACGCACAUUUUUUGCCGUCUGAGCAGUGCGGAGCUGUAGGAGAAACACAAGUUAAUUGGGAGACGCAGACUGAUGUGUACAGCGUACACUGUAGUCUACAGCAGCGGUCCCCAACCACCUGUCAAUGAGUUGUUUGGUACCGGGCGUGAGAGUUGAGGCUCGGGUGUGAAAUUUAUGGUUUUCAGGGUUUUUAUCAUUAUUUUUUUUAUCGUUUUUAUCAUUAACUCAGUUUCCCUGGGUCUUUUCCUGUGUGUUAUGAAUAAAUCUCCUUGUUUUUUUUCUUUUUUUUUUUUUUGGUAGCGGUACUGGUUUUAUUUUGUUGUAUUUAUCCACGACACAUUAAAGGCCGGUAUGCGAAAGUAUUGUCGGACAUAAACCGGUCUGUGGCACAAAAAAGGUUGGGGACUGCUGGUCUACAACACACAGCAGUACUAGGUUAUUAUGUACACGUUGGUAAACUGUCUUGUGACAGCUGACGAAUUGAAACAAUUGAGCGUGCUGUGUGUGCAACAGCGCGAUAAUUAAAUAAUAAAUCAAUGCAAUAGCAAAUUGUGCCUUGUUCUCAGAUGGACAGCAAGUGGAUAUGAUACAUGAGACGAGGAGAUGAAAGGAGGUAGAGAGGCAAUAAGUGAUUCACAAGCAGAGCCUAGUUUAUUUCUCACAGUUGGUUACACUGCUUGGAACCAUUAGGCAACAAGCCUUAUGGUUCCAAGCACUGUCACCAAUCUUUGCAUGUUAUUAUUAUUAUUAUGUCAUAAGACUUGUUUAAUCAGCUACCAUCUUUCCUAUGGACUCUUUAAUGCCUCAGAUCAACACAGCCCUGCCCUCCAGCACCAUCAGCAGCAGCAACCCCUCAACAGCAACAUUGCACCCCAUCAGACCAGCUGGUGUCACAGGAGUGAGGAGGCCUCAUGAGGAAUCAACAAGAGUCAUCAGCGCCUCAAAGUUUAAUGGAAAUUGGGACCCACUGAGAGAGAGAAUUCCUGUGGACCUGCCUGAACUGAAGCUUUGGAUUCACUAACUGGAAGUCCUUCUGUUGUCACAUUCUGUUGUUACUUUACUGUAAAUAAACGCACUGAACUUAAUCCUGCAA